GUGAGAACGCAGCGAAAUGCGAUAAGUAGUGUGAAUUGCAGAAUUCAGUGAAUCAUCGAAUCUUUGAACGCACAUUGCGCCCCUUGGUAUUCCAUGGGGCAUGCCUGUUCGAGCGUCAUUUGUACCUUCAAGCUUUGCUUGGUGUUGGGUGUUUGUCCAUUCUCUUGCAGAGGGACUCGCCUUAAAGUAAUUGGCAGCCAGUGUUUUGGUUUUGAAGCGCAGCACAAGUCGCGAUUCAAAGCUAUACGCCCGCUUCCACAAGCCUUUUUCACUUUUGACCUCGGAUCAGGUAGGGAUACCCGCUGAACUUAAGCAUAUCAAUAAGCGGAGGA
rnacentral:misc_RNA from 1 species